AGAGUUUGAUCCUGGCUCAGGAUGAACGCUAGCGGCAGGCUUAACACAUGCAAGUCGAGGGGUAUAAGUCUUCGGAUUUAGAGACCGGCGCACGGGUGCGUAACGCGUAUGCAAUCUACCUUUCACAGAGGGAUAGCCCAGAGAAAUUUGGAUUAAUACCUCAUAGUAUAGCUGAACCGCAUGGUUCUACUAUUAAAGUCACAACGGUGAAAGAUGAGCAUGCGUCCCAUUAGCUAGUUGGUAAGGUAACGGCUUACCAAGGCUACGAUGGGUAGGGGUCCUGAGAGGGAGAUCCCCCACACUGGUACUGAGACACGGACCAGACUCCUACGGGAGGCAGCAGUGAGGAAUAUUGGUCAAUGGACGCAAGUCUGAACCAGCCAUGCCGCGUGCAGGAUGACGGUCCUAUGGAUUGUAAACUGCUUUUGCACAGGAAGAAACAACUCUACGUGUAGAGUCUUGACGGUACUGUGAGAAUAAGGAUCGGCUAACUCCGUGCCAGCAGCCGCGGUAAUACGGAGGAUCCAAGCGUUAUCCGGAAUCAUUGGGUUUAAAGGGUCCGUAGGCGGUUUAGUAAGUCAGUGGUGAAAGCCCAUCGCUCAACGGUGGAACGGCCAUUGAUACUGCUAGACUUGAAUUAUUAGGAAGUAACUAGAAUAUGUAGUGUAGCGGUGAAAUGCUUAGAGAUUACAUGGAAUACCAAUUGCGAAGGCAGGUUACUACUAAUGGAUUGACGCUGAUGGACGAAAGCGUGGGUAGCGAACAGGAUUAGAUACCCUGGUAGUCCACGCCGUAAACGAUGGAUACUAGCUGUUGGAAGCAAUUUCAGUGGCUAAGCGAAAGUGAUAAGUAUCCCACCUGGGGAGUACGUUCGCAAGAAUGAAACUCAAAGGAAUUGACGGGGGCCCGCACAAGCGGUGGAGCAUGUGGUUUAAUUCGAUGAUACGCGAGGAACCUUACCAAGGCUUAAAUGUAGAUUGACCGGUUUGGAAACAGACUUUUCGCAAGACAAUUUACAAGGUGCUGCAUGGUUGUCGUCAGCUCGUGCCGUGAGGUGUCAGGUUAAGUCCUAUAACGAGCGCAACCCCUGUUGUUAGUUGCCAGCGAGUCAUGUCGGGAACUCUAACAAGACUGCCAGUGUAAACUGUGAGGAAGGUGGGGAUGACGUCAAAUCAUCACGGCCCUUACGCCUUGGGCUACACACGUGCUACAAUGGCCGGUACAGAGAGCAGCCACUGGGCGACCAGGAGCGAAUCUACAAAACCGGUCACAGUUCGGAUCGGAGACAAAAG
rnacentral:rRNA from 1 species